AAUAUUAUUCUCUUCCUCCUCUCUCUUCUCUUCAUCAUUUUCACCAUUUCUGUGAAAGGGGAGCAGCUUCCUAUUGGCAAGCUUCCUCUCCUUCGCAUUGUCGCCUGAGAAAUUACACUCGUGCCUGAACCGCCUGUGGCAUAGCAGAUUGAGUGGUGACGGUACAUUCUGGAGGAAAGCCCUGAGGAAAGCGUUUGGUGUCGGUGCAGUAGUUGUAGAUCAUAUAGUUCUUCUGGACCCAUUUCAAUCUCUGUUGACUCGGCGAAUCCAGUACUUACGAGAACCAGUUGUUGUUGCUGGAUGAAGAGGGAGAAUUGGAGUUGCAAGAAGACGACCCAGAAGACCAAACACAGGCAUUGGCAUUGAAAUUGCGGUAGGAGGCGGUGAAGGGAGCUUGGCUCCAGUCAGUCUUGAUGAGGCCACCCCUGGUAGCCCAGUCAUCCGCAUUCCACAAACUUGAAUAGAUCCUCAUGGGUUGGCUCUUCGGAAAAAGAACGCCCUUUGACUCUUAAGUUCUUGAAUUCUCUAAUGGGAGUUCCAUCCACAGAGAAUUUGAAAUCCCAAAACAAAUUAACAUACCAAUUGUCAGAUUAAAAUGAAUAGAAAUAAAUUAAAAUUUGUACUUUGGAUGUAUGGACAUGAGUAAAUAAGCUAACAUGGAGUAGGUGUGUUUGUCGGCGGUUGGGUCGAACUAGAGAUAGUGAAACAAUGAAGGAAGAUGGAAAAGAGGAAGAAGAAGCAGCCAUGACCAUGAGAGAUACAAAGAAUGGAUGCUGAAGUUUGUAGGGAAGUUGUUUGAUAUAUGUCCGCAAUAAGACUGGGUUGUUGUAGUUGCAGUGUACAACUCUCUCUCUCUCUCUCUCUCUCUCUCUCUAUAUAUAUAUACAAGAUGGGUAGGGAAGCAGACGAGAUAACUGAAGCGAAGGCACUGGAAACUUCAUGGGUGAUCCAAGUCGGAGUAGAAGCGAUUCCAGGGUAGUAGCAGAUUUCUUCCAAUGUGUCUCUAUUUAAUAAAUUCUUCUUUUUUGUACGAUGAUAAUUGCCGGUUUAGUGGCUGAUGUGUGUCGGAUAAUCGUCCUCAUCAACAGCGUCACAAUGGUGAUAUACCACAGAGGAUUUCCGUGAGAUUUCCAUGAGGUUUACUUCCCACCUUGCUAAUCCUAAGGUGUUCUAAAGUCUUGGCUUUGUAAGGUAAGCAUUGAAAAGGAGUUGCAUUGAUCUACUCAUAUAAAACAUGUUGCUCGUGCUGGUUUGGUGGUGAUUCAUCUUCCUUGCAACAGGAUCCCCCCUCUAAUGUUGUAUAUUUUGAUAUUUGAUGUUCGUCCAUCAAAUCCAAUUCAAUACUAUUAUAAUAAUUACACUUUAUGAUUAAAUUAUUAUGUUUGUAAUCAAGUUAUGAGCAACAUUACUUAUUAUACCAUUUACUUUUCCAUUACUAUGGACAGACUUGGACACUUUGUUCUAUAGUUGUUACAUUGUUUAUUUCCCUAAGGGGAAUUGGCAUGGGAAUAUUGAUGUUGGCACU